UUAGUAGGCUUGGACAUCAGACAUAUAGGCUUGGAUAGUAAGUUUAAUUAUAUUAUAUAUUUCGUUGUCUGAUUAAUUUUUGGUCUACUAAUAACUAUUGUUUACCUUUGGCUUUCCAUACAGAGGCUGUGCCUAGGGAGAAUCCUCGAGUUCUUGAAUGUGCCUGGCUUGACUAGGGAGAACGUAGCUAGUCAUUUGCAGGAGCUAUGGUAGAGAUUACAAGCAUCAGUUUUGAGACAGAAGAGGGAUGCUCUUUUUUGUUUUUGUUUUUCAUGUCUUUUGCUUGUGUGGGUGGUUAUUGGUUAAUGGGUUGCUCUUUUAUUUUAUUUUUUAUAUCGAAAAGGCUCCAAUGGCUUUGAUUCCUAA